rnacentral:tRNA from 5 species
GCUGCCAUCGUCUAACGGCUAGGACCUCAGGUUUUCAUCCUGGUAAUCGGAGUUCGAUUCUCCGUGGCAGUA